GGUGAGCCUGAACACUCCACAGCUGCUGCUCCUAGGGAGGAGCUGGUACCAUGGGUGUCAGGCAACAGUUGGCCUUGCUGCUGCUGCUGCUGCUCCUGCUCUGGGGCCUGGGGCAGCCAGUGUGGCCAGUGGCUGUGGCCUUGACCCUGCGCUGGCUCCUGGGGGAUCCCACAUGUUGCGUGCUACUUGGGCUGGCCAUGUUAGCAUGGCCCUGGCUCAGCCCCUGGGUGCCCCAUGGGCUGAGCCUGGCAGUUGCGGCCCUGGCACUAACCCUCCUGCCAGCACGGCUGCCCCCAGGACUACGCUGGCUGCCGGCUGAUGUGAUCUUCUUGGCCAAGAUCCUCCACCUGGGCCUGAAGAUCAGGGGAUGCUUGAGCCGGCAGCCGCCUGACACCUUUGUAGAUGCCUUCGAGCGGCGAGCACGAGCGCAGCCUGGCAGGGCACUCUUGGUGUGGACGGGGCCUGGGGCCGGCUUAGUCACCUUUGGUGAGCUGGAUGCCCGGGCCUGCCAGGCGGCAUGGGCCCUGAAGGCUGAGCUGGGUGACCCUGCGAGCCUGUGUGCCGGGGAGCCUACUGCCCUCCUUGUGCUGGCUUCCCAGGCCGUUCCAGCCCUGUGUAUGUGGCUGGGGCUGGCCAAGCUGGGCUGCCCAACAGCCUGGAUCAACCCGCAUGGCCGGGGGAUGCCCCUGGCACACUCUGUGCUGAGCUCUGGGGCCCGGGUGCUGGUGGUGGACCCAGACCUCCGGGAGAGGCUGGAGGAGAUCCUUCCCAAGCUGCAGGCUGAGAACAUCCGCUGCUUCUACCUCAGCCAUACCUCCCCUACACCAGGGGUGGGGGCUCUGGGGGCUGCCCUGGAUGCGGCGCCCUCCCACCCAGUGCCUGCUGACCUGCGUGCUGGGAUCACAUGGAGAAGCCCUGCCCUCUUCAUCUAUACCUCGGGGACCACUGGCAUCCCAAAGCCAGCCAUCCUCACACAUGAGCGGGUACUGCAGAUGAGCAAGAUGCUGUCCUUAUCUGGGGCCACAGCUGAUGAUGUGGUUUACACGGUCCUGCCUCUGUACCACGUGAUGGGACUUGUCGUUGGGAUCCUCGGCUGCUUAGAUCUCGGAGCCACCUGUGUUCUGGCCCCCAAGUUCUCUACUUCCUGCUUCUGGGAUGACUGUCGGCAGCAUGGCGUGACAGUGAUCCUGUAUGUGGGCGAGCUCCUGCGGUACUUGUGUAACAUUCCCCAGCAACCAGAGGACCGGACACAUACAGUCCGCCUGGCAAUGGGCAAUGGACUACGGGCUGAUGUGUGGGAGACCUUCCAGCAGCGCUUCGGUCCUAUUCGGAUCUGGGAAGUCUACGGCUCCACAGAAGGCAACAUGGGCUUAGUCAACUAUGUGGGGCGCUGCGGGGCCCUGGGCAAGAUGAGCUGCCUCCUCCGAAUGCUGUCCCCCUUUGAGCUGGUGCAGUUCGACAUGGAGGCGGCGGAGCCUGUGAGGGACAAUCAGGGCUUCUGCAUCCCUGUAGGGCUAGGGGAGCCGGGGCUGCUGCUGACCAAGGUGGUAAGCCAGCAACCCUUCGUGGGCUACCGCGGCCCCCGAGAGCUGUCGGAACGGAAGCUGGUGCGCAACGUGCGGCAAUCGGGCGACGUUUACUACAACACCGGGGACGUACUGGCCAUGGACCGCGAAGGCUUCCUCUACUUCCGCGACCGCCUCGGGGACACCUUCCGAUGGAAGGGCGAGAACGUGUCCACGCACGAGGUGGAGGGCGUGUUGUCGCAGGUGGACUUCCUGCAACAGGUUAACGUGUAUGGCGUGUGCGUGCCAGAGAUGGAGUUUCACCAUGUUGCCCAAGCUGGUCUUGAAUUCCUGGGCUCAAGCAAUCUCCCUGCCUUGGCCUCCCAAAGUGCUGGAAUUACAGGAGUGAACCACUGCACCCGGCUGAAAUGUGACAGGGUCUCAUCCUGUUGCCCAGGCUGAAGUGCAAUGGUGUUAUCAGAGCUCACUGCAGCCUUAACCUCCUGGGCUCAAGUGAUUCUCCCACCUCAGUCUCCCUGGGACUACAGAGUAGGAAGGAGAAGAGUGCUGAAUCAAGGCCCCCAAGGAUUCCCCGUUCCAAUCCCCAGAAGCUGUGAACAUCUCAAUUGGCAAAAGGGACUCUGCGGUGUGACUAAGUGUGCAGGUAGGGACAAGAUAUGAUGAGGGUCCUUAAGGAGGCCAAAGGAUCGACUGGUGUCAGAGAGCUGGCAGCCUAAGGAAGACGUGACCAACCAUGGCUGGCUUUGAAGACGGAGGAAUGGACCAAGAAAAAAAAAAAGGGGAACGUGGGCUGACUCUAGAAGCUGGAAAAGGCAACAAAACGGAUUAUUCUCUCCUAGAGCCUUCAAGAGGAACCAGUCCUGUUAAAUCCUUGAUUUUGGCCGGGCGCGGUGGCUCACGCCUGUAAUCCCAGCACUUUGGGAGGCCGAGGUGGGUGGAUCACGAGGUCAGGAGAUCGAGACCAUCCUGGCUAACAUGGUGAAACCCCGUCUCUACUAAAAAUACAAAAAAAUUAGCCAGGCGUGGUGGCGGGCACCUGUAGUCCCAGCUACUCAGCAGGCUGAGGCAGGAGAAUGGCCUGAACCCGGGAGGCAGAGCUUGCAGUAAGCCGAGAUUGUGCCACCGCACUGCAGCCUGGGCAACAGAGUGAGACUCCAUCUCAGACAAAACAAAACAAAACAAAACCUUGAUUUUAGCCCAGUGGGACCCAUGUCAGAGUUCUGACCUUCAGAGCUAUAAGAGAAUAAAUCUGUUGUUUCAAGCU